GUGCUCGCUUUGGCAGCACAUAUACUAAAAAAUUGGAACAAUAUAGAGAUUAGUAUGGCCCUUGGGCAAGGAUAACACAUAAAUUCAUUUAGUGUUUCACACUACA